GGGACAACUCUGCAGUCAUGCCACAAUCCAGAGUCUUAACAUGUACCAGGUGUUUUAUUCUUCUUUGGGAGAGAGACUUACAAACAACAGAUUCUGCCUUGUGUUCAAGAAUUUUGAGAAUAGCAAAUGUGGUGAUUUUCAAAAGGAUAGUGAAAGGUUAUCAGAAACAGAGGGGGAUGAUGGAGCUUCUUGAAUAGACUAAAGCCACAUUACUACAAACCCAUUUCACUUGUGAUUCAAGAAGAAAGGGAGCAGUUGCUUCUAAGGAUGGAAUGUUUGAAGAUUAAGAAUGCAUCAUCAUUCCUUCUAUAUUUUGGAAAUCAGAAACCACCUUUAGAUAUUACUAUCAAAUAUUUCUGUUCUAAUGGUUGAAUGUUUCAUUGCUAUCUUAUGAAAAUAAAGUUUAGCAAUAAUGUUCCCUUGGAUAAA